CACGCCCGCCGGGUCACCAGAAAGGGAGGGCCAAGUCAGCACCAGUAGUGCUGACUCGGCCCUCCCUUUCUGCUGACUCGGCCCUUGCG
rnacentral:pre_miRNA from 1 species